rnacentral:lncRNA from 1 species
CCCCACGACCAGACAAAAUUCGCCGACUCACGGACGCAAGGUCCGCCGCCUCUCCUUCUCCGGCGACGAACGCCGCCGGUCACUCUACCCCUCCGACUCAAAGACCCCGCCCAGACAAACAUCUCGCGCCGCCUUCCUCUCAAAAUCGGCGGCCGCAGCAGCCGACAAGGCCUACCGCCGCCGCCUGACGUCCCUCGAAACAGACCAGCGAACAGCAGCAGUUAGUUACAGCCAUCGCCUCAUCUCCCUCUGUACCCCCGGCGGCCGCAUCAACGACAGCCACCAACUGCCGUCGUCGCACUUCCCUCAUUUCCAUCAACCUCCUUUCUCCUCCGACCCAGCCCUCAGCAAAACCCAGCCCAAUCCACUUCUCUCUCUCAGUCAGCCACCACCCACAUACUCCAUCUCUCUGCUCAAUUCCGGUCGACAGCAAUGGCUCUUUGCAGCCAGCGUCGCCGCCCGGACUUUACCCGACUCGACUCACACACACACCGAAGUAACAACCCGGACGCAGCCAGUUCAAAACAAGAAAUAAAAAUCGAAGCUUCAAACUCUACUUCCCCUUUUUUUUUCUUUAUUAACACGCUUCAUGUAAUGUAUAUAUAUAUACGCAACUUUUAUGCAUAUGUAUAUUAGUGAGUGACAUUCUAUUCAAUUGCUUGAUAUACCAGAUGAGUUAAAGGUGUAACCUCUAAUAGAAUCGGUUGGGUUUGUGCAGUUGGAAACUGGAAUGGUUUGGCUGCUUAAGAAACUUGGGUCAGGCUGCGUUGUUGUCAUCUGAACUUGGUUGAAGUUUGGUGUUUGAUUUGCUACUGUAAAAUUGGACCUCACUGAAUCGUUUUUUUGCACUUGAGUCUUUUCUCUUCUUUUUUUUUUGUGAGAAGGAGAUCUGUUGAAUGGUGAGGAUGCCAAACUGAGAGGGUUGUGCUUGGAUUAAGCAGAGGAGUAGAGAGCCUAAGGCAUGGCUUAAAGCUGAUUUUGAGGUUGCUUGCUUGCAGGGACAUGAGUGAUGGUGUAGGGUUGCGGGUAGGAAAAAUGGAGUAUGGGUGAGUUGAUGUUUUGAUUGGACAAAUAAAAUCCCUCUGCUUGAAUUAUCGGAACUGUAAUAUUUCCUCAGGUUCGUUAAAUAAAU